GGUAAUACGUAGGGUGCGAGCGUUAAUCGGAAUUACUGGGCGUAAAGCGUGCCCAGGCGGUUUGAUAAGCCAGGCGUGAAAUCCCCGAGCUCAACUUGGGAAUGGCGCUUGUGACUGUCAGGCUAGAGUAUGUCAGAGGGGGGUAGAAUUCCACGUGUAGCAGUGAAAUGCGUAGAGAUGUGGAGGAAUACCGAUGGCGAAGGCAGCCCCCUGGGACGUCACUGACGGUCAUGCACGAAAGCGUGGGGAGCAAACAGGAUUAGAUACCCUGGUAGUCCACGCCCUAAACGAUGUCAACUAGUUGUUGGGGA
rnacentral:rRNA from 1 species